UCAGACUUCUACAGUUGCAAAAACAUCUGAUUUUUUUAAUGACUGAUAGUUGACUGCAACCAUUCCACUUUUCUUCAGGCACUGAAAUACAGCUGAAAACUUUUUCCUUUAGUGCUGAUUAGGGUGAAACAGGCUUGUUUUUUCUAUUUAAGCAUUUAAAUGCACCUUCCCAUCACCCUCCAUGUGAGUGCCUAGAAAGGAAAAUCAGUAGGAAUUACGAAGUAACAAGGACUGCUGCAAAUUUGUUUGACACAGUCCUUUCUGUAAGUGAUGUGAGAGCAAGAAAACACAGAUAAGCAGGGUUACAGCUCCUACAAAUUAAAGAAUUUUAACUCUUGACUUGCAAACUUGCCAAGAAACAACAAAAGAAGUGGUCCGUACUUUGAAAGUCCAGGAGUUUGGUCUGCUUAAGGAUUUGGUCUCUGUGCAAUACAGCAAUGAGAGGGCUGGGUAUAACAAGCUUCAAGCUUCUCAAGCACGGGGAUAAUAUUAAUCCCAUAUUUUUUAAAAUCUGCAGUGGACUGUCCCAUCCAUCCCUUCUGAUCACCCAGAGGUCCAGACAGAAGCAUUACACGCUGG